rnacentral:lncRNA from 1 species
AAUACACAUGGGGUGAUACCAAAGAGGAAUCAUAUCCUGUUCAACGCGAGACACGAGUCAUGCUGCUAAUUGUAAGUACGCAUUAGUUUUAGGUAGCACUCCACAGUUAGAAAAUAAAAUUAAAAAUGAGCCACACAAUGUUUUAUCUCCUAUUCCAGGAUUUCUAAUACAUUACCCUAACUGUUUGUGUUGUACAUGUGCAUGUAUAUGUAAUCAGUACCUUCCAUAGAUUUGAUUUUCAAAAGUUAAAAGGGUGAAAAAUAAUUCCCUUUAUAAGUGCAUCUAUGGGAAUAUUCUGCAUUUAUUUAUCAUAAAAUAUUGCAAAAAAGGGGGGUAAACAUGUCACAUAUCCACCCAAAAUUUGGAUCAAACUAGAAUUUCAAUGCCUUUGAGUGAUACCUUUUAAGAAACUGUUUUUAUAAAUCUUCCUUAUGAUCAAAUAAAAAAAGGGUGUCUUUCGCCUCAUUUUUUCGUAAAAUCAAAUCUCAAAGUUCGUGCGACAAAAAGUUGGAAAAAACAUUACAAUAAUUGCCGGACCAAUGUAUGGUAUGAACAUACAAAUACGGACUGUCAUACAGAAAACAGCCUAUAUUUUACAUACAUUAUAUGAUCUAUAUAUUCAUAUAAACCCAAUACGAAGGCUAUUUUAAUACUCAGCUAUCCAGAAAUGAAUUUUAUUGCACACUAGCUCUUACAUUUGAAAAAUCCACAGGGGUCAAAAUGCGAAACUACACACCUAACUGGAGUGCUACCUUAGUCCUCGCAAUUGAAGAAAAACGAGACCGGAAAUGUAUCGAUGAUAAUUAGAACCUGUUUGAGGUCAUCUUUAUGAUACAGGUUUUUUAAUAAAAGUUAACAAACUCAUGAUGACUUCAGAUCAAUCGUAGUUGGUUCUAAAAUUCCACAUGGAACUAGGUUAAACGCUAAGCAUCGAUAUUAUCAUACGGAGUCUAUUUUUCAAUGAAAGUUAGUGCAAGAGAGAAAUGAACGAUACAAAAGGACAUUCAAACUUAUAAGUCGAAGAUGAGCUGUCAACGAUAUGGCAAAUCAAAAAAGAAAAACUUAAAUAACAAACAACAGUAUACAAAAAAAAAUUAACAUAGAAAACUGAAUAUCCAGCAACAAGAACCCUAUCAAAACAAGGAGAAGAUAUCAUGUGCUUACAUAUGCCUUUGGAAAAUUGAAGUUCGUAUUGCUUUAAAAUUAUGCGUACGAUACUACAGGGAGAAUAAUAACUCAUACGCCAAAGAACUUGUCCCCUUGGUAUCUUCCGUCUCAUUUUCACAAUCGGCAAACCUCGGGUUACACCGCUUCUCUUCGGAAUAGGCCGAGUCGUGACGAAUGUCAUUUUCAAACUGAAUGAAAGUGAAGCUGUUGUUGGAUAUACUGAAUGCCCCAAUAUUUUAAAGUACAAGUACUUGUAAUCCUGUAGUGACACGUUUUGUUUUAAAUUAUUUUAACCAGGUUAAAUAUGUACAUGUACCAAAGUCUAACCGAUUUUCCAAACUUGCUUCAUGUAUGACAUUGAUAUAAGUUAAACUAUAAUAUGACUAUAUUCACAAGUAUUUGUAAUAGUAAAAGAAAAAAAUAAUUCAAUGUCAGGAAAAACAUUUUCUCAAUCUUUCAAAGACCUGCUAUAUUUAUUAAUCUUACCUUCUAUACAUUUCUAGGAAUGUGAUUGGUUAACAGCGCCCUCGUGGAGACCGUGUAUAUUUGAUAUUAGGUUAGUAGGGAGGAGGGCUUAGCUUAUACACGGUUAGUAGAGGUGUUACGUCCCUUUAUAUUCCUUAUAAGGUAGUAGGUAGGCGGGGCUUAUUUCAUACACGGUAAGUAGCACGCGGCUUCAUAUCUGUACACCUAUCGCAAUCAAAACUAAUGCCCGCCCCUCCGCUUUACACAAGUAGACCCGAUUAGCAUUUCUCUCCAUUCUUUGGAUUGAAAUUCAUGUUUACCAUAUCGAUGACAAUAAAUUUGAGAACGGAAAUGGGGAAUAUAUCUAAGACACAACCUGACCAAACAGCAGACGACAGCAGAAGGCAACCAAUGGGUCUUCAACGCAGCGAGAAAAUCCCGCACCCGGAUGUGGCCCUCAGCCGGCCCCUAAAUAAAAUUGUGUACCAGUUUAUUGAAAAUGGACGUCACACUAAACUCCAAAACAAAUAAAUGAACGAAAAUUAAAAAAACAUACAAGACUAACAAAGACCAGGUGCUCUUGACUUUGGACAGGCGCAAAAAUGCGGUUAAAAAAGUUUAUUUACAUUUUUACAGUGGAUUGUCUACUUUUUUUGUACACUUCCUGCUUUGUUUUCCAAUAUAAAUUAAACUUGUAUGACAUAUAACAGUAAAAACAUCACAUACAUAUGUUGUUUUCAAAAUGAAAUCAACAGAUUUUUGAAUAGGUUAUAACAAAAUGAAAUCUGUGUCACCAAGGCAUUUCCACUUCGUGUACAAUUAAUUACUUUCAUGUUUUUCAGUUAUUCAUAUUUAACAUUGUAUAAUAUAUACAUAUUUUCUGCAUCUACGAUAGAUAAUUUAGGGAGCUACCAUUUGAUUUUUAUGGGGGGGGGGGGGGCUAGGAUGAAAUUGAGAAAAAAAUAGGCAGUACAGGAGUUUUGAGUGAAAAAAAAGGCAGGAUGAGACAAUUGCCAAAAAAAAAGUCAGGACGACAAUUUAGUAAAAAAACAGUCAGGAUAAACUAAAAAAAAAAAAAAGAAAGGACCAAACAGAGUGAAAAAUAAAAAGGCAGGACAGAGAUUACAGCUAAAAAAAAAAUGCAGGACAAAAUUUUUCAUCCUAGCCCCCCCCCCAUAAAAAUCAAAUAGUAGCUCCCUUAGCUACUCUGUAACCAAUUCCAUUAUAUGAUUACCAUGUGCUAUGUUACGACUUUAGAUUCUACUAACAAGGAAAGGUAACAAAAGGCCACCAAAAGCUGAAAUUUUAGUUAUUUUUUUUUUUAUUGUGUCAAAUUAUUAUUGUGUUUGUUCUAUUAACUAAAUUAAAUUUGAAUCGUUAAGAAAGAGUCACAUAUUCAAAUAUAUUCCAAAGGUAAACUAAAACAGCAGAUAGAAAAGAAAGAGCAAAUAUCGAUGGACUGUUGUCAGAGUACAGAGAUAAAGGAUUGCAGAUAUGAAAUUUUCCUGUUGAGUUUAGCUGCAGAGAGCUCGAAAGCCACCACCAAUGGGCAGUGAUUGAUCACUACUGUGGACCACUUCUCAUGAGAGUGUACCCAACUAGGGGUCGAAAC